rnacentral:rRNA from 1 species
AAAGCGCACGCAGGCGGUCUGUUAAGUCAGAUGUGAAAUCCCCGGGCUUAACCUGGGAACUGCAUUUGAAACUGGCAGGCUUGAGUCUUGUAGAGGGGGGUAGAAUUCCAGGUGUAGCGGUGAAAUGCGUAGAGAUCUGGAGGAAUACCGGUGGCGAAGGCGGCCCCCUGGACAAAGACUGACGCUCAGGUGCGAAAGCGUGGGGAGCAAACAGGAUUAGAUACCCUUGU